rnacentral:rRNA from 1 species
GAUGAACGCUGGCGGCGCGCCUAACACAUGCAAGUCGAGCGAACAGACGAGGUGCUUGCGCCUCUGACGUUAGCGGCGGACGGGUGAGUAACACGCGGCUAACCUCCCUAUAUGACUGGGCUAACUUCGGGAAACCGGAGCUACUACCAGAUAAUAUCUUGAACCGCGUGGAUCCGUAGAGACAGCGGGUUUUGCGGUCAGUUAUAGAUGGAUCCGCGCCGCAUUAGCUAGAUGGUAAGGUAACGGCUUACCAAGGCAACGAUGCGUAGCCGACCUGAGAGGGUGAUCGCCCAGUCGGGAACUGAGACACCGUCCAGACUCCUACGGGAGGCAGCAGUAGGCAAUGGGCGGCAAUGGUCGAAAGCCUGACGGAGCAACGCCGCGUCAGUUAUGGAGGUGCUCGGAUCGUAAAGAUCUGUUACGAGGUAUGAACAGAUGUGAGAGGAACUAUGCACGUCGUGACGGUACCUGAUGAGAAAGCCACGGCUAACUACGUG